CCAAUAGCGUAUAUUAAAGUUGUUGCAGUUAAAAAGCUCGUAGUUGAAUUUCGGGGCCAGUAGGUUGGUCGUGCCACUGGUAUGCACUGGCCUUACUGGUCCCUCCUUCUUGUAGAACCGUGAUGGCAUUAAUUUGUUGUUGCGGGGAAACAGGACUGUUACUUUGAAAAAAUUAGAGUGCUUAAAGCAGGCUCGCGCUUGAAUACAUUAGCAUGGAAUAACGGAAUAGGACGAUCGAACCUAUUUUGUUGGUUUCUAGGAUCGACGUAAUGAUUAAUAGGGAUAGUUGGGGGCAUUAGUAUUCAAUUGUCAGAGGUGAAAUUCUUGGAUUUAUUGAAGACUAACUACUGCGAAAGCAUUUGCCAAGGAUGUUUUCAUUAAUCAAGAACGAAAGUUAGGGGAUCGAAGACGAUCAGAUACCGUCGUAGUCUUAACCAUAAACUAUGCCGACUAGGGAUCGGAUGAAGUUAAUUUUUUAAUGACUCAUUCGGCGCCUUACG
rnacentral:rRNA from 1 species